rnacentral:rRNA from 1 species
CCUACGGGCGGCAGCAGUGGGGAAUAUUGGACAAUGGGCGAAAGCCUGAUCCAGCCAUGCCGCGUGUGUGAAGAAGGCCUUCGGGUUGUAAAGCACUUUCAGUGGGGAAGAAAGCCUUGGGGCUAAUACCCUCGAGGAAGGACAUCACCCACAGAAGAAGCACCGGCUAACUCCGUGCCAGCAGCCGCGGUAAUACGGAGGGUGCGAGCGUUAAUCGGAAUUACUGGGCGUAAAGCGCGCGUAGGCGGUCUGAUAAGCCGGUUGUGAAAGCCCCGGGCUCAACCUGGGAACGGCAUCCGGAACUGUCAGGCUAGAGUGCAGGAGAGGAAGGUAGAAUUCCCGGUGUAGCGGUGAAAUGCUUAGAGAUCGGGAGGAAUACCAGUGGCGAAGGCGGCCUUCUGGACUGACACUGACGCUGAGGUGCGAAAGCGUGGGUAGCAAACAGGAUUAGAUACCCCAGUAGUC